rnacentral:rRNA from 1 species
GACAGAGGUGCCAAGCGUUAGGCGGAAUCACUGGGCUUAAAGCGUGUGUAGGCGGAUUUGUAAGUACCUUGUGAAAUCCCACGGCUCAACCGUGGAACUGCUCGGUAUACUGCUUAUCUUGAGCCACUUAGGGGCUACCGGAACAAAUGGUGGAGCGGUGAAAUGCGUAGAUAUCAGGAGGAACACCGGUGGCGAAGGCGGGUCUCUGGGCAGUAACUGACGCUGAGACGCGAAAGCGUGGGGAGCAAACAGG